GGACGCUAGAUCUGGGAAGGGGUGGUGGCUGGCUAGAUGGGCGAGGAAGGAUCGUCUCUACCCUCUCUCCAGCAGCUGAGGCCUCCGAACCCAUCCCUAGCCGGAUUUGGGGACAGAGGAGCGCUGGUAUUGAUAAAAGAACUCUCUUUGCUAUUCUUUUAGGAGCCCAAAUGAGGAUUGAAAGUGAGAAGAAUGGGGCCUGGGCUUGGGAGUGGGAGGUGGGGAAAGCGCAGAAUCCCGUGUGCCUGUUUCUGCGUCGUCUGGAGAGAAAGCUUUUGAAGAUGUCUAAUAGACCUUAUUCGGGAGUCUCUGCAUUAGUUGGACAGCUCCUCUGGAAUUAUCUUCUAAGUCAGCUGUGGGUUGGGUAGGUGGCUCUGCUGAUUUUUUGCUGGACUUCCACAUUUGGAACCAGUUGGCUUUCAUCAGCUCUAGAAAGGGUGUGGCUGUUUUACAUUGGCUGUUUUCCUCACAUUCCUCCAGCAGGUACUGUAAUAAAGAACUGGAGAAAUAAAGUCAGAUGGGAAGUUGCCCCUACUAUCAAGGAGCUUACCAUCUAAUGGGGGAGAUAGGCAAGUAAACCAAAGACUACACAGUACAGUAUGGUAAGUGCCAUGAUUUUGAUAUGACAGGCCCUAAGGGCACAGUGGAAGACCUUCCAAAUCAAAGCAAGUAAGUAUGGGUUGACAAUGGUAAGUAUCAUAGUGGAAGUAUUCUUGAACAAGGUUUCAGGAAGAAGAAGAAGGGAAUUUCAUGCAGGGAAACAACCAGAGCUCAGUGAGUCAAAAUAUCAUAGCAUUCUUGGUAAGCCCAAUUUUUUUUUUUUUUAUUUUGCUAUUUUGGUGGAGAGAAAGGAAUACAUAAAGGAAUAACAUGAGAGAAAGCUAUUUGGGGAGUGUAGUAGUUAAGGUUCUGGUUGCAAACAACAACUCCAGCUAGUUAAGUUGACUUUAGUGGAAGGAUACUGGGGUAUCUCAUGGGAUCCUGGGAACUGUUGAAUAACCAGGGAAACUCUGGGGAACUCACUGGUAGGAAUCCAUAAACUGUCUUCCUGGUGAGCUGUAAACAACUCAUCCUCUAUGCAUCUCACAUCAAAAUUCCAGUUUCUUGGGAAAACAAGUCUGUUUGCCCAAUUUGGGUCAUAUUUCCACCUCCAUGUUACGCAGGCAUGACUCAUCUGCAAGUUAUGUGUAUAGAUAUUUUGCUACUGUUCCGCCCCUAUGCUAUGCUUGGGGGCGAGGUGUCACUGUGAGCUGUGUGGCUGCCUUAAGAGAUAUCUGUUGUGUCUUAUUACUUGGUUGCCUUUCCCCACAUGUACAAUGACAAAAAUGCCUUCAACCUAUUCGAUCCAGCCAUUCCAGUACAACUCCUAUACUUGCCAUCUUUCUAAGCCCAAAGGCACAUCCAGCUGAUGGAAGGAGCAUCUUGGGUUUAAUAUUCUUUUAGUUAUGAUAUCUGAAAGUAAAAUAUCUAUUCUUCUAAUUCUGGCACAGUCUUAUCUAACUAUAGUUCCUCAUGGUCCUGCACUCCAUGGACUAAAUUGUAAGUGUAAUUACUACCAAUGCACUCUAUAAAUAACUGUUGGGGCCAAGGUGGCAAUAGUUGCUACGGGAAAAAAAAAAAAAAAA
ensembl:lncRNA